rnacentral:rRNA from 1 species
AUUGGACGCUGGCGGCAGGCCUAACACAUGCAAGUCGAACGAGUGGCGGACGGGUGAGUAAUGUCUGGGAAACUGCCUGAUGGAGGGGGAUAACUACUGGAAACGGUAGCUAAUACCGCAUACCAUCAGAUGUGCCAAGAGGGGAUGAGCUAGGUGGUGGGGUAACGGCGCACCAAGGAGACGACCCCUAGCUGGUAUGAGAGGAUGACCAGCCACACUGGAACUGAGACACGGUCCAGACUCCGACGGGAGGCAGCAGUGGGGAAUAUUGCACAAUGGGCGCAAGCCUGAUGCAGCCAUGCCGCGUGUAUGAAGAAGGCAUUCGGGUUGUAAAGUACUUGCAGCGGGGAGGCGUUACCCGCAGAAGAAGCACCGGCUAACUCCGUGCCAGCAGCCGCGGUAAUAC